UGUAUCUACGGACAUAACGGUAACAGA
rnacentral:sRNA from 1 species